rnacentral:rRNA from 1 species
GACGAACGCUGGCGGCGUGCUUAACACAUGCAAGUCGAACGGACAGGCCCUGCUUUUGUGGGGUGCUCGAGUGGCGAACGGGUGAGUAACACGUGAGUAACCUGCCCUUGACUUUGUGAUAACUUCAGGAAACUGGGGCUCAUACCCGAUAGGAGCUCCUGCUGCAUGGUGGGGGUUGGAAAGUUUCGGCGGUUGGGGAUGGACUCGCGGCUUAUCCGCUUGUUGGUGGGGUAGUGGCUUACCAAGGCUUUGACGGGUAGCCGGCCUGAGAGGGUGACCGGCCACAUGGGGACUGAGAUACGGCCCAGACUCCUACGGGAGGCAGCAGUGGGGAAUAUUGCACAAUGGGCGGAAGCCUGAUGCAGCAACGCCGCGUGCGGGAUGACGGCCUUCGGGUUGUAAACCGCUUUCGCCUGUGACGAAGCGUGAGUGACGGUAAUGGGUAAAGAAGCACCGGCUAACUACGUG